GCAUUGCUGAAGAGUCCCAUACUAGGACGAAAUGACAAUCCAGUAC
rnacentral:hammerhead_ribozyme from 1 species